GUCGAGCGAUGAAACACCUUCGGGUGUGAAUUAGCGGCGAACGGGUGAGGAACACGUGAAGAAUCUGCCUUCAACUCUGGGAUAACUCCGGGAAACCGGGGCUAAUACGGGAUAUGAGCCUUGAUCGCAUGAUCGGGGCUGGAAAGUUUUUCGGUUGAAGAUGACUUCGCGGCCUAUCAGCUUGUUGGUGAGGUAAUGGCUCACCAAGGCGACGACGGGUAGCCGGCCUGAGAGGGCGACCGGCCACACUGGGACUGAGACACGGCCCAGACUCCUACGGGAGGCAGCAGUGGGGAAUAUUGGGCAAUGGAGGAAACUCUGACCCAGCGACGCCGCGUGAGGGAUGAAGGCCUUCGGGUUGUAAACCUCUUUCAGUAGGGAAGAAGCGAAAGUGACGGUACCUACAGAAGAAGCACCGGCUAACUAUGUGCCAGCAGCCGCGGUAAUACAUAGGGUGCAAGCGUUGUCCGGAAUUAUUGGGCGUAAAGAGCUCGUAGGUGGUUCGAUACGUCGGAUGUGAAAAUCAGGGGCUCAACCCCUGACCUGCAUCCGAUACGGUCGAGCUAGAGUUUGGUAGGGGAGACUGGAAUUCCUGGUGUAGCGGUGGAAUGCGCAGAUAUCAGGAGGAACACCGAUGGCGAAGGCAGGUCUCUGGGCCAAUACUGACACUGAGGAGCGAAAGCGUGGGGAGCGAACAGGAUUAGAUACCCUGGUAGUCCACGCCGUAAACGGUGGGCGCUAGUUGUGCGAACCUUCCACGGUUUGUGCGACGCAGCUAACGCAUUAAGCG
rnacentral:rRNA from 1 species